CUGCGUCAUGCGAUCUCUCGGAGGCCAAAGACUCGCUCAAGAUGGCGGAGUGAGGAGGAAGUGGGAGGCCUCGCUGGGCCCCGGGAUCCCAGGGGCCCCAGUGUGCGCGAGCAGGGAACCCUCAUCGGGAGCCGAGUUAUCCUCAUUGGAUCUAUCUGUAAUGCUGGGCAGAGAUGCUGUAACGGAUAAGGAUCCCACCCCCCACACUCCCUGCUUGAGGAAAAAAAGACCAGCACGCCACCAUGUCUACAGCAAUGAUCGCAGAGCCCCCGCGAGCUUCUGUCGCUGACAUUGAUUGAUCCUGCAGAUGUCUGCUGCAGCGUUCCCUGAAGGUCAAGGGAAGAUCACAAGGCUCCAAGGCCCACACACCUCGCUGGGCUGUGACAGGCGUUGGGACACAAUGAAGCUACAGGUUGAGCCCUUAACGGAGAAUUUUACCUCAUGCAUGUCUCAUGGACUCCAUUCACCAUUUAUUGUAGGGAAUCAACCGACAUCUGUCCUCUCCAAAUCGAAAAGUGCAGCUUUUCUGCUGAAAUGCGCGUCAGUUUCCUGCAGUUUCUUGAGGCUUGACUUGAGAAUUCCACUUGGGAAACGCCGAUUUCACGAACAUCAGGAAUAUAGAACUGUGAGUUAGUAAAUUGGUCUAAGAACAACCCUGAAUUAUCCUGGCCCUGCUCUGUUUUUUAUUUUUAUUUUUGGUGAUGUAUCACAUUUAAUGUCCGAAAAAAGAAGUUCACACUUUCUAAAUCCCCUGAUCAUGUUUAAAUGUAAGACGUAUGGAAGA